GGGAACACAGCACCGCCUGGCGUAUGGCGCUGCUGCAGUGGUGAGGAUGCUGGCGGUGACGCUAUGGCUGCUGCUGUUGUUGUU
rnacentral:pre_miRNA from 1 species